UACAGAGGGGGCAAGCGUUGUUCGGAAUUACUGGGCGUAAAGGGCGCGUAGGCGGUCCGCUAAGCGUGUGGUGAAAGCUCGGGGCUCAACCCCGAGUCGGCCAUGCGAACUGGUGGACUGGAGCCUGUCAGAGGCAAGCGGAAUUCCGGGUGUAGCGGUGGAAUGCGUAGAGAUCCGGAAGAACACCGGUGGCGAAGGCGGCUUGCUGGGACAGUGCUGACGCUGAGGCGCGACAGCGUGGGGAGCAAACAGG
rnacentral:rRNA from 1 species